AGUGAACGCUGGCGGUAGGCCUAACACAUGCAAGUCGAACGGCAGCACAGUAAGAGCUUGCUCUUACGGGUGGCGAGUGGCGGACGGGUGAGGAAUACAUCGGAAUCUACUUUUUCGUGGGGGAUAACGUAGGGAAACUUACGCUAAUACCGCAUACGACCUACGGGUGAAAGCAGGGGAUCUUCGGACCUUGCGCGAUUGAAUGAGCCGAUGUCGGAUUAGCUAGUUGGCGGGGUAAAGGCCCACCAAGGCGACGAUCCGUAGCUGGUCUGAGAGGAUGAUAGGCCACACUGGAACUGAGACACGGUCCAGACUCCUCGGGAGGCAGCAGUGGGGAAUAUUGGACAAUGGGCGCAAGCCUGAUCCAGCCAUACCGCGUGGGUGAAGAAGGCCUUCGGGUUGUAAAGCCCUUUUGUUGGGAAAGAAAAGCAGCAGGUUAAUACCCCGCUGUUCUGACGGUACCCAAAGAAUAAGCACCGGCUAACUUCGUG
rnacentral:rRNA from 1 species